GGUUCCGUAGGCAAACUGGCAAAGCCGUCUGACUUAGAAUCAGGUGUUUGGGAGUUCGACUCUCCCCGGAACUACGC
rnacentral:tRNA from 2 species